rnacentral:rRNA from 1 species
ACUCCUACGGGAGGCAGCAGUAAGGAAUAUUGGACAAUGGGCGGAAGCCUGAUCCAGCCAUGCCGCGUGCAGGAAGACUGCCCUAUGGGUUGUAAACUGCUUUUGUACGGGAACAAACUGCCCCAUGCGUGGGGUACUGAGGGUACCGUAAGAAUAAGCACCGGCUAACUCCGUGCCAGCAGCCGCGGUAAUACGGAGGGGUGCAAGCGUUAUCCGGAUUCACUGGGUUUAAAGGGUAGCGUAGGCUGUUCGAUAAGUCUGUUGUGAAAGGCGCCGGCUCAACCGGACGGACUGCAAUGGAUACUGUUGGACUUGAAUCAGGUUUAGGUAGGCGGAAUGCGGCAUGUAGCGGUGAAAUGCAUAGAUAUGCCGUAGAACACCGAUUGCGAAGGCAGCUUGCUGGGCCUAGAUUGACGCUGAGGCACGAAAGCGUGGGGAGCGAACAGGAUUAGAUACCCUGGUAGACUGUCA